rnacentral:misc_RNA from 1 species
CAAGAAACGAGGCUACGUGCCCCGCUCUUUACCUUGCCUACUGCACUAUCUGUUGCUUCCUGGCGGCGGUUUGCCUGCCGCCUAGGGACAUUGUAAAGCCCUGUAUAAAGCAUUAAAAAACUGAAACAAACCGAAUCGUA